UACGAAGGGGGCUAGCGUUGCUCGGAAUCACUGGGCGUAAAGCGCACGUAGGCGGAUCGUUAAGUCAGGGGUGAAAUCCUGGAGCUCAACUCCAGAACUGCCUUUGAUACUGGCGACCUUGAGUUCGGGAGAGGUGAGUGGAACUGCGAGUGUAGAGGUGAAAUUCGUAGAUAUUCGCAAGAACACCAGUGGCGAAGGCGGCUCACUGGCCCGAUACUGACGCUGAGGUGCGAAAGCG
rnacentral:rRNA from 1 species